UACGUAGGGUGCAAGCGUUAAUCGGAAUUACUGGGCGUAAAGCGUGCGCAGGCGGUUUUGUAAGUCAGAUGUGAAAUCCCCGGGCUUAACCUGGGAACUGCGUUUGAAACUACAAGGCUAGAGUGUGGCAGAGGGGGGGUGGAAUUCCACGUGUAGCAGUGAAAUGCGUAGAGAUGUGGAGGAACACCGAUGGCGAAGGCAGCCCCCCUGGGCUAACACUGACGCUCAUGCACGAAAGCGUGGGGAGCAAACAGG
rnacentral:rRNA from 1 species